rnacentral:rRNA from 1 species
GAACGGUAACGACACUAGCUUGCUAGUGGGCGACGAGUGGCGGACGGGUGAGUAACGCGUAGGAAUCUACCUAGUAGUGGGGGAUAGCCAAGGGAAACUUUGGGUAAUACCGCAUACGAUCUAAGGAUGAAAGGGGGCCUCUCUUUGAAGCUCUCGCUAUUAGAUGAGCCUGCGUAAGAUUAGCUUGUUGGUGAGGUAAUGGCUCACCAAGGCGACGAUCUUUAGCUGGUCUGAGAGGAUGAUCAGUCACACUGGAACUGAGACACGGUCCAGACUCCUACGGGAGGCAGCAGUCGGGAAUAUUGGACAAUGGGGGAAACCCUGAUCCAGCCAUGCCGCGUGUGUGAAGAAGGCCCUAGGGUUGUAAAGCACUUUUAGUAGUGAGGAAGGCUCAGUAGUUAAUACCUACUGGGAUUGACGUUAGCUACAGAAAAAGCACCGGCUAAUUUCGUGCCAGCAGCCGCGGUAAUACGAAAGGUGCAAGCGUUAAUCGGAAUUACUGGGCGUAAAGCGCGCGUAGGCGGCUUGGUAAGUUGGAUGUGAAAGCCCCGGGCUCAACCUGGGAACUGCAUCCAAAACUGCCUGGCUAGAGUAUGGUAGAGGAUGGCGGAAUUUCCUGUGUAGCGGUGAAAUGCGUAGAUAUAGGA